rnacentral:lncRNA from 1 species
CUCGGCUUCAUCCUGGGACACCUCAUGGGGCAUAAAGUGUGCAUCUUUCCCCGAGAUGAUUUUCUAUUUGCGUCUACCUCACAGCCCAGGGAUAGCAAAACGCUGAGCAGCAAUAGCUGGUUCACAAACGCUUCUGUUCGAGAACAAUUUGGCUCCCAAAGAGAAGCAUGUGGCAAAAUUUUGCUUCUGUUCUUGAACUCCACGUGGGGUGACAAACAGAACUGCAGCCAUCUUCCCCAGAACGGUGGAACGAAAGAGGUUCGUGCACCGACGAGGCACCAGUAGGGCACGUCUUCUUUGCCACAUACAAUGUGGGUGGAGCCAUAUCUGUUACCCGGAAGCUCCCCGUGGCGGGCGAUUCCUAACCUGUGCAGAUCUUCAGCCUCCCGGCCAGGAAGCAGGCACUUCGGGGCUGGUUGAACUAAUGGGCCCGGCUUGGCCAGGCCGCUGGGAGGACUGCAGGAAGCGUCUCAUUUCCCGGGGCUGAAAACGCAGAGGGAGAGGUGGGCAUGAUCCGAGGAUGUUACAUGCAUGUAUAAAAUUUCACCAUGAAACACAUUAGAUCUCAUGAUUAAUAUGCACUAAUGAAGAAAAUGAACACAGAAAGUCAAACUAAAAUUGACACUGAAUAAUUAUUUAGAAUAAAAAAGGAAUGAAAAGCAAGCUUUGAGGGCUAAGAAGACAAAUACGAAACAAUCACAAAUUAAUACACAAAAUAACAUUUUUAUUAAUUGCUUAACAUCUCUGCAGUAUUUUUCCUAGAGUUUAUGGCUCAUAUCCUAAUCAGCCUUUUAUAUGACAAUGAUUUUGUAAUACUGUUUUUAUAGGAGGAAUAAAGAGAUGUUUUUUGUUUACCAUGUUUCAUGAACAUUUACGUAUUAUAUCAGUAGUUUAAGUAAGUUUCUUCCGCCUUCAAAAUUUAUAACAGCGUGUCAUAAAAAGGUUUAGGAUUUUUAAUCACAUUUCAGAAAACGUAUAUCAAGUUUCUUUUCUACAUGAGCUUUCACAUGCCAUAGAGUUUCAAGUUUUUUACAUUCUUUUUUGAGGACACUCAUUUUCCAGUAGAUUUGAAUUUUGUUAUGACCAAUAACUGAAACACUAUAUAAAAUUGAUUAUCUGAACCCUAAAAUAUAGAAGCUGAGUAGUUGAGAGCACAGUGAAGAUCCUUCUGAACAUGGCCAGCAGUUGUCAGCAACACGCUUGUCCCAACAGGCAUCUUGCCAGGGCUCAGGCGGGGCUCAGCUGCCUCUCCAUCCGGAUCCGUCAGACUUCAGCGGCCCAGAUGCCUUGGUCAGAGCUGAUGGAUCACUGCGGUCCCUAAACACGGAUCUGUGCCUACAGCUGUAUCUGUAGAGUAUUGUGCAGGUUUGCCCCUUAGAACCACAGAGUUUGCAUACACUUUAUGUUUUGUAGAUCUCAUCAAAAACAAACAAAAAUGAAGCUUUUAUAUUUGCAUGUACUGUGUUAUCAAGUCCCCAUCUGACAGGAGAACUUUCACUGUCACCAAGUAGCUCUGACAGUCGUUUUCUAUUUAUAGUUUCCCAUGUCUCAUGAUGGAAAGUGUUUCCCACACACCAGCUUUGGCGUGGUGCAUUGUAAACCCUGAGUUUUCCCUUCACACACGCCAGCACCAGGGACUCGGGAAGUCCACUCACAAACGCAUUACCCAUGACUUCUGACCCUGACUUUGUACCUCAUUAUCUGGAAAUUGAUACAGUGAGGGACCCGUGUAUUCCUAGAAGCCAUCCCUACACCAGGACAACUAGCAGUAACAUCAUUACUGAAGGACCCUAGUUAGCAAGACAGACUCCAUAUUGCUGUUUGACCCACCUGCCAGCCCUUUAGAUGAACUCAGAAGGAGGAAGCUUAGAAACCUCCUCCCCUUAGAGAGUCUCUUAGAGACAACAAUCAAUCAACUAUUGUUUUACAAAUGUUCUAACAGCAGGACGUUCCGCUUCCGUACCUUUUGCUUGCUUUGCUGGUUCUAUCCCAUAGGGGGGCCUAGAAACUGCUGGCCUCAAAGGUGUAUAAAAUAUGUUAAUCUCCCCUCGGCUCGGUCCGGGUCGGUAAUAAACUCCUGUGUGGACUUAAUAUCGGUCUCUGGUUGGUUCUUUCUCGCUGGGUGCAACAAUUACUUUGACUGUUUACUACCUAAAUAUAUUCCACCAAAUCCAAACUAAAUUACAUCCA